AUACAGGGGACCCGAGCCGGAUGAUUACCACCACUUUGGAUAGAGAUCUGUAUAGCAUCGAACGCUUUCUCUACACGACUUGGAAUUGUUCAUGUGCCGUUGUAAAGGUGGUUGCAUUACACAGAGGACGAAUCAUCUAUUAUGAUCUUCGAGUGAGAAAUUCUUCGGUUGAAUCAGAUAUUGACCUCGGCUGCACGAGACAUUUCGGCUGGCUUGCCCGCCACGGAAGAUCUAUUUACAGCUCAGUGUGCCAGAAGAAUAUAUUUAUUGGAAAAUGAA